CUGGACAUUAACUAGCCGAAUGGUCAAAAGGCCAAAUUGUCUUAUUAUCUUACAACUUUCAAAAAAACUAAUUAUAUUAUAAUCAAACCUGCAUAUACUUUUACAUAAGCUAGUAAAUUACAAUAUAAUAUCGCAUAAAUAUUUAUACAUAUAUGUAUAUCACCAACAGGGCCAUUUAUAUAUAUAAUCACACAUUUGCAUAUAAUUAUGAAUCAU
rnacentral:lncRNA from 1 species